UACGAAGGGGGCUAGCGUUGCUCGGAAUCACUGGGCGUAAAGGGUGCGUAGGCGGGUCUUUUAAGUCAGGGGUGAAAUCCUGGAGCUCAACUCCAGAACUGCCUUUGAUACUGAAGAUCUUGAGUUCGGGAGAGGUGAGUGGAACUGCAAGUGUAGAGGUGAAAUUCGUAGAUAUUCGCAAGAACACCAGUGGCGAAGGCGGCUCACUGGCCCGAUACUGACGCUGAGGCGCGAAAGCGUGGGUAGCAAACGGG
rnacentral:rRNA from 1 species